rnacentral:rRNA from 1 species
CAUAUCAAUAAGCGGAGGAAAAGAAACCAACAGGGAUUGCCCCAGUAACGGCGAGUGAAGCGGCAACAGCUCAAAUUUGAAAUCUGGCCCCUCGGGGUCCGAGUUGUAAUUUGUAGAGGAUGCUUUUGGUGAGGUGCCGCCCGAGUUCCCUGGAACGGGACGCCACAGAGGGUGAGAGCCCCGUCUGGCUGGCCACCGAGCCUCUGUAAAGCUCCUUCGACGAGUCGAGUAGUUUGGGAAUGCUGCUCAAAAUGGGAGGUAUAUGUCUUCUAAAGCUAAAUAUUGGCCAGAGACCGAUAGCGCACAAGUAGAGUGAUCGAAAGAUGAAAAGCACCUUGAAAAGAGGGUUAAAUAGUACGUGAAAUUGUUGAAAGGGAAGCGCUUGUGACCAGACUUGGGCGCGGCGGAUCAUCCGGGGUUCUCUCCGGUGCACUUCGCCGCGUCUAGGCCAGCAUCAGUUCGUCGCGGGGGAAAAAGGUUUCGGGAACGUGGCUCCUCCGGGAGUGUUAUAGCCCGUUGCAUAAUACCCUGCGGUGGACUGAGGACCGCGCAUCUGCAAGGAUGCUGGCGUAAUGGUCACCAGCGACCCGUCUUGAAACACGGACCAAGGAGUCGUCUUCGUAUGCGAGUGUUCGGGUGUCAAACCCCUACGCGUAAUGAAAGUGAACGCAGGUGAGAGCUUCGGCGCAUCAUCGACCGAUCCUGAUGUUCUCGGAUGGAUUUGAGUAAGAGCAUACGGGGCCGGACCCGAAAGAAGGUGAACUAUGCCUGUAUAGGGUGAAGCCAGAGGAAACUCUGGUGGAGGCUCGCAGCGGUUCUGACGUGCAAAUCGAUCGUCAAAUAUGGGCAUGGGGGGCGAAAGACUAAUCGAACCUUCUAGUAGCUGGUUUCCGCCGAGCUCCCCCUCCCGAUAAUAAAA